GAUGAACGCUGGCGGCAGGCCUAACACAUGCAAGUCGAGCGGCAGCAUGGGGGUUGCUUGCACUUCCCGAUGGCGACCGGCGCACGGGUGAGUAAUGCGUAACCAACCUGCCUUUCACCACGGGAUAACUCGGCGAAAGUCCGACUAAUACCGAACGUUGCCCAUUGACGGCAGCCGAGCUGGACGAAACGUUUGGGGGUGAAAGGGCGGGUGGGGGUCGGAUUAGCUUGGGGGCGGGGGGACGGCCCACCGAGGCGACGAUCGGUAGGGGGUGUGAGAGGAUGGGAAGCCACCCCAGAACUGAGACACGGCCCAGACCAGUACGGGAGGCAGCAGUGGGGUAUAUUGUACAGUGGGCGGAAGCUUGGCCCAGCCAUGCCGAGUGGGUUACAGAGGCACUCGGGUAGUGAAGGUCUUCUGCUUGGGAGGAAGGGUAGAGUGGUCAUACUGUGGGUUAUUGACGGUACCGCAUGAAUAAGCACCGGCUAACUCCGUG
rnacentral:rRNA from 1 species